CAGUAGCCGCGGUAAUACGAAGGGGGCUAGCGUUGCUCGGAAUCACUGGGCGUAAAGGGUGCGUAGGCGGGUCUUUAAGUCAGGGGUGAAAUCCUGGAGCUCAACUCCAGAACUGCCUUUGAUACUGAAGAUCUUGAGUUCGGGAGAGGUGAGUGGAACUGCGAGUGUAGAGGUGAAAUUCGUAGAUAUUCGCAAGAACACCAGUGGCGAAGGCGGCUCACUGGCCCGAUACUGACGCUGAGGCACGAAAGCGUGGGGAGCAAACAGGAUUAGAUACCCGCGUAGUCCCUGUCUCUUAUAA
rnacentral:rRNA from 1 species